UGGACAAAUUAUUGUAUUCGACUGUAUUCACGGCGUGAAACGGGGGAUUACACUGUUUUUAAACGGAAAGUGAAUCAAUUAACAUAAUAGACUCCU
rfam:Nicotiana attenuata strain TT chromosome 5, whole genome shotgun sequence.